AACGAACGCUGGCGGCAUGCCUAACACAUGCAAGUCGAACGAGACCUUCGGGUCUAGUGGCGCACGGGUGCGUAACGCGUGGGAACCUGCCCUUAGGUUCGGAAUAACUCCCCGAAAGGGGUGCUAAUACCGGAUAAUGUCUUCGGACCAAAGAUUUAUCGCCUUUGGAUGGGCCCGCGUUGGCUUAGCUAGUUGGUAGGGUAAAAGCCUACCAAGGCGACGAUCCAUAGCUGGUCUGAGAGGAUGAUCAGCCACACUGGGACUGAGACACGGCCUAGACUCCUACGGGAGGCAGCAGUGGGGAAUAUUGGACAAUGGGCGAAAGCCUGAUCCAGCAAUGCCGCGUGAGUGAUGAAGGCCUUAGGGUUGUAAAGCUCUUUUACCCGGGAUGAUAAUGACAGUACCGGGAGAAUAAGCUCCGGCUAACUCCGUG
rnacentral:rRNA from 1 species